rnacentral:rRNA from 1 species
GACGAACGCUGGCGGCGUGCCUAAUACAUGCAAGUAGAACGCUGAAGGAGGAGCUUGCUUCUCUGGAUGAGUUGCGAACGGGUGAGUAACGCGUAGGUAACCUGCCUGGUAGCGGGGGAUAACUAUUGGAAACGAUAGCUAAUACCGCAUAAUAGUAGAUGUUGCAUGACAUUUGCUUAAAAGGUGCAAUUGCAUCACUACCAGAUGGACCUGCGUUGUAUUAGCUAGUUGGUGGGGUAACGGCUCACCAAGGCGACGAUACAUAGCCGACCUGAGAGGGUGAUCGGCCACACUGGGACUGAGACACGGCACAGACUCCUACGGGAGGCAGCAGUAGGGAAUCUUCGGCAAUAGACGGAAGUCUGACCGAGCAACGCCGCGUGAGUGAAGAAGGUGUUCGGAUCGUAAAGCUCUGUUGUAAGAGAAGAACGAGUGUGAGAGUGGAAAGUUCACACUGUGACGGUAUCUUACCAGAAAGGGACGGCUAACUACGUG